GACAACGCUGGCGGCGCGCCUAACACAUGCAAGUCGAACGGAAUCAAGAGGAGCUUGCUUUCUUGAUUUAGUGGCGAACGGGUGAGUAACGCGUGAGUAACCUGCCCUGGAGUGGGGGACAACAGUUGGAAACGACUGCUAAUACCGCAUAAGCCCACGGUACCGCAUGGUACUGAGGGAAAAGGAUUUAUUCGCUUCAGGAUGGACUCGCGUCCAAUUAGCUAGUUGGUGAGGUAACGGCCCACCAAGGCGACGAUUGGUAGCCGGACUGAGAGGUUGAACGGCCACAUUGGGACUGAGACACGGCCCAGACUCCUACGGGAGGCAGCAGUGGGGGAUAUUGCACAAUGGGGGAAACCCUGAUGCAGCGACGCCGCGUGGAGGAAGAAGGUUUUCGGAUUGUAAACUCCUGUCGUUAGGGACGAUAAUGACGGUACCUAACAAGAAAGCACCGGCUAACUACGUG
rnacentral:rRNA from 1 species